CUGGGUGUGGCGCAGCUGGUAGCGCGCCAGAAUGGGGUUCUGGAGGCCGGGGGUUCAAGUCCCCACACUCAGACCA
rnacentral:tRNA from 1 species